GGCGGAUACGCGCGAAACGGGCGAGCAACACGCGAGCGACCCCCUUCGACUUCCGGGAUCAGCUCCGGGAAAACCGGGUUCAUCACCGGUCCGACCAAUUCUCCGCACGGGGCGUCGGCGGAAAGCGCUAUGGAGCGGUUUUAGAUCGGGCUUCACGGCUCUAUCAGCUUCGUUGGCGAGGUAAUAGGCUUACCAAGGCGACGACAGGUAGCCGGCUCUGAGAGGGUCGACCGGCCCACACUGGGACUGAGACACGGCCCAGACUCCUACGGGAGGCAGCAGUGGGGAAAUAUUUGCACAAUGGGGCGCAAGCCUGAUGCAGCGACGCCGCGUGAGGGAUUGACGGCCUUCGGGUUCGUAAACCUCUGUUAGCAUCGAAGAAACGAAAGUUGACCGGUAGGUGCAGAGAAAGCGCCGGCUAACUACGUGCCAGCAGCCGCGGUAAUACGUAGGGCGCCGAGCGUUUUCCGGAAUUAUUGGGCGUAAAGAGCUUGUAGGCGGUUGGUCGCGUCUGCUGUGAAAGGCUGGGGCUUAACCCUGGUUUUGCAGUGGGUACGGGCUAACUAGAGUGCAGUAGGGGAGACUGGAAUUCCUGGUGUAGCGGUGGAAUGCGCAGAUAUCAGGAGGAACACCGAUGGCGAAGGCAGGUCUCUGGGCUGUAACUGACGCUGAGAAGCGAAAGCAUGGGGAGCGAACAGGAUUAGAUACCCUGGUAGUCCAUGCCGUAAACGUUGGGCACUAGGUGUGGGGGACAUUCCACGUUUUCCGCGCCGUAGCUAACGCAUUAAGUGCCCCGCCUGGGGAGUACGGCCGCAAGGCUAAAACUCAAAGAAAUUGACGGGGGCCCGCACAAGCGGCGGAGCAUGCGGAUCAAAUUCGAUGCAACGCGAAGAACCUUACCAAGGCUUGACAUAUACUGGACUGCGUCAGAGAUGGCGUUUCCCUUCGGGGCUGGUAUACAGGUGGUGCAUGGUUGUCGUCAGCUCGUGUCGUGGGAUGUUGGGUUAAGUCCCGCAACGAGCGCAACCCUCGUUCUAUGUUGCCAGCACGUGAUGGUGGGGACUCAUAGGAGACUGCCGGGGUCAAACUCGGAGGAAGGUGGGGAUGACGUCAAAUCAUCAUGCCCCUUAUGUCUUGGGCUUCACGCAUGCUACAAUGGCCGGUACAGAGGGUUGCGAUACUGUGAGGUGGAGCUAAUCCCUAAAAAGCCGGUCUCAGUUCGGAUUGGGGUCUGCAAACUCGACCCCGUGAAAGUUCGGAGUCGCUAGUGAAUCGCAGAAUCAGCAAACGCUGCGGUGAAAUUACGUUUCCCGGGCCUUCCCGCACCCCCC
rnacentral:rRNA from 1 species